rnacentral:rRNA from 1 species
UAGCAGAGACUGCAAGCGUUAUUCGGAUUCACUGGGCGUAAAGGGUGCGCAGGCGGUCGGGUGUGUCAGAUGUGAAAUCCCGAGGCUCAACCUCGGAACUGCGUCUGAAACUACUCGACUAGAGUACUGGAGAGGGUAACGGAAUUCACGGUGUAGCAGUGAAAUGCGUAGAUAUCGAUGAGGAACACCAGAGGCGAAGGCGGUUACCUGGACAGUUACUGACGCUCAGGCAACGAAAGCAUGGGGAGCAAAAGGG